AACGAACGCUGGCGGCGCGCCUAAUACAUGCAAGUCGAGCGAGAAGACGUAGCAAUACGUUUGUAAAGCGGCGAACGGGUGAGGAAUACAUGGGUAACCUACCCUCGAGUGGGGAAUAACUAGCCGAAAGGUUAGCUAAUACCGCGUACGCUCCUUGGACUUCGGUUCAGGGAGGAAAGCGAUACCGUGGGUAUCGCGCUCUUGGAUGGGCUCAUGUCCUAUCAGCUUGUUGGUGAGGAACGGCUCACCAAGGCUUCGACGGGUAGCUGGUCUGAGAGGACGAUCAGCCACACUGGCACUGCGGCACGGGCCAGACUCCUACGGGAGGCAGCAGUAAGGAAUAUUGCGCAAUGGGCGAAAGCCUGACGCAGCGACGCCGCGUGGGGGAGUGAAGGUC
rnacentral:rRNA from 1 species